UAAUUAAAUUAAAAAAAUUAAACCAAGAAUAAUAAUCAAUUAAUAAAAUCAAACAAAAAUUAUAUACUAGUAAUUAAGCUACUCUUUAAGAAAACUUUCUAUAUGGAGGCGUACUUUCAUAAAAUUAUUUUUUUUUUGGCUAUUUUAUCCUAGAAAAUAGUAAACCAAACGUAAAAAUUGAACUAAAAUUGAACUUCUUUGGCUUUUUUUUAAAUAAAAGACCUAAUUGGAAUAACCAAAAAAUAACUGAAUCAUCUAGUUGUCAUAUUCUGUCUUUCUGGCUAGUGGUAGGUGUGUGAAUCAUACAUACAUAUAUAUAUAUAUAUAUAUAUAAAUAAUGGCACCCGUAACUUCCAAAUCCUAAAUCUGCCUCUGUGUAUGAGAAUUUUAUCUUGCAAUUGUCUUAUGGGGUUUAAUUAUGAUUUUCUUUUUCUCUGAGAGUUUUUGAAUUAUAUUUAUUUUCGAAAUUUUUGUUUGUGUGUUUUUUCAUCUGUUCCAGAAAUUUGCAGGGAUGAGAGGGGUUUAUCGAAUUGGUUUCUCCUUAACACUUUGACCGCUCUUUAAUUGCAUCUAAAUUAUCAAAGUGAAAUCUUAAGUCUAAGCUCGAAAGAACCAAAAUAUAUGAUGGAUUUUCAUUCUAAAGAUUCACCCUUCACGGUUAAAUGGGAUGGAGUAGGACGUGAGCUUUGUCUCUUAUUAGCUCUACGAGUGUUGCACGUUUCCUCAAAGAAAUCUCAUAUUUGUUGAAGUUUAACUCUUGAAAAUAAAUAUUGUAUCUCUCGUAAAUCUUCUAGAAGUAAAGAUAGAUAUUUGCUUGUUCGCGUUUGAUGAUCAACAAUUUCAAGAAUUUUGUGACUUGGUUUUUUGUUCACUUUAAUCUGUUUUACGAUGGAGAGUCCUUCUAACAAUCCAAUGUCACUUCUAUGUGCUGUACUAUAUUA